GGAAGAUGAAGAGGGCACCACCAUCCUAUCACAUGGCCCCAAAGACCUCCUUUCAACACAUGAAGACACAGUGAGAAGAUGGCCAUCUAUGAAUGGGGAAGCAGGCCCUCGCCAGGCAUCAAAUCUGCUGGCACCUUGAUCUUACUUUCCAGCCUCCAAAACUGUAAAAUAAAUUUCUGUUGUUCAUAAUCUAUGCAGUUUUUGGUAUUUUAUUAUAGUAGCUCAAAUGGAUUAAGACAGUCCUCACAACAAUUAUUCACCUCAUUUUACAGAUGGAUAAACUGAGAGGCAGAGAGGUUAUGAAAUAUGUGAAGCAAAUAGUAAGUGGCACAGUAGCCCUAGGCAGUGAAGCGCCAAAGCCCACUCUCUUAACCACCGUGCUGGCACAUUGCUCAUAUAUUUUUUACAUUUGUCUAUCUGAUGGAGAGUUUGUUUGCCCUAUUGAUUUUUAUAUCCCAGGACUCUACAUGAUGACUGCUAUAGUAUGUGCUCAAUAAAAUUAUGAUGAAUUAA